AAUCACUAACUACACAGCCAGG
rnacentral:miRNA from 14 species